rnacentral:rRNA from 1 species
GACGAACGCUGGCGGCGUGCUUAACACAUGCAAGUCGAACGAAGUGGCGAACGGGUGAGUAACGCGUAUUCAACCUGCCCUUCAGAGGGGGACAACAGUUGGACACGAAUGCUAAUACCGCAUACUGAUGGCGGGGAUUGCGUCUGAUUGGCUAGUGGGAGGGGUAACGGCCCACCAAGGCGAUGUUCAGUAGCGUGGCUGGGAGCAUGAACGGCCACAUUGGGACUGAUACACAGCCAAGAAUCCUACGGGAGGCAGCAGUGGGGAAGCUUCCGCAAUGGAAGAAAGUCUGACGGUGAAACGCCGCGGGAGUGAUGAGGGCGUUCGGGUGGUAAAGCUCUGUUAAUCGGGACGCGGUACCGGAAUAGAAAGCAACGGCUAACUACGUGCCAGCAGCCGCGGUAAUAC